rnacentral:rRNA from 1 species
CAGCAGCCACGGGAAUACAGAGGGUGCGAGCGUUAAUCGGAUUUACUGGGCGUAAAGCGUGCGUAGGCGGCUUUUUAAGUCGGAUGUGAAAUCCCUGAGCUUAACUUAGGAAUUGCAUUCGAUACUGGGAAGCUAGAGUAUGGGAGAGGAUGGUAGAAUUCCAGGUGUAGCGGUGAAAUGCGUAGAGAUCUGGAGGAAUACCGAUGGCGAAGGCAGCCAUCUGGCCUAAUACUGACGCUGAGGUACGAAAGCAUGGGGAGCAAACAGGAUUAGAUACCCGAGUAGUCCCUGUCUCUUAUAC